rnacentral:rRNA from 1 species
GAUGAACGCUAGCGACAGGCUUAACACAUGCAAGUCGAGGGGCAGCACAGGUAGCAAUACUGGGUGGCGACCGGCGCACGGGUGCGUAACGCGUAUGCAGCCUACCUAUAAUAGGGGGAUAGCCUUCUGAAAGGGAGAUUAAGACCGCAUAAUACAACUGACUCGCAUGGAUUGGUUGUAAAAUAUUUAUAGAUUAUAGAUGGGCAUGCGUCUGAUUAGAUAGUUGGAGAGGUAACGGCUCACCAAGUCAACGAUCAGUAGGGGUUCUGAGAGGAAGGUCCCCCACAUUGGAACUGGGACACGGUCCAAACUCCUACGGGAGGCAGCAGUGAGGAAUAUUGGUCAAUGGGCGAGAGCCUGAACCAGCCAAGUCGCGUGAAGGAAGAAGGUCUUAUGGAUUGUAAACUUCUUUUAUAGGGGAAUAAAGAUGAGUACGCGUACUCAGUUGUAGGUACCCUAAGAAUAAGGAUCGGCUAACUCCGUGCCAGCAGCCGCGGUAAUACGGAGGAUCCGAGCGUUAUCCGGAUUUAUUGGGUUUAAAGGGUGCGUAGGCGGGUUGAUAAGUCAGUGGUGAAAGGUUUGCGCUCAACGUAGACAUUGCCAUUGAAACUGUCAGUCUUGAGUACAAAUGAGGUAGGCGGAAUGUGUUGUGUAGCGGUGAAAUGCAUAGAUAUGACACAGAACACCAAUUGCGAAGGCAGCUUACUGGGAUGUAACUGACGCUGAGGCACGAAAGCGUGGGGAUCAAACAGGAUUAGAUACCCUGGUAGUCCACGCAGUAAACGAUGAUUACUAGCUGUUAGCGAUAGAAUGUUAGUAGCUAAGCGAAAGCGAUAAGUAAUCCGCCUGGGGAGUACGACCGCAAGGUUGAAACUCAAAGGAAUUGACGGGGGCCCGCACAAGCGGAGGAACAUGUGGUUUAAUUCGAUGAUACGCGAGGAACCUUACCCGGGCUUGAAAUGCAGAGGAAUGACGAGGA